rnacentral:misc_RNA from 1 species
GCCCGACCAACAAAAAAUUGGCAUGAUUGAUUGUAUUUCAUUUCUAGGCAUCAUCCAAAAUUCCCAACAAGCACAAAGAAAUAAGAGGGUGUUUCAUAAACCCGAAGAGAGAUCCAACAAAACAUACGAGCAAUAAAGGGUUAUGCAAGUGUUAAGCAUCUCAGAAUAUAGCCACUUGAGUUAUUAUGUAAUAUGUAUGUCAGUCAUGAAACAUUUUUGCAAAGAAAAUUGCAAGCUGUCUUCGGUGGCCAAGCAGCAAAACAACACAUUGCAUGAACUAUAUUUUAGCAUCUACUGUCCACAUACAAGUUUUCAAAAGCAACAAUUUACCAACUUUAGAUUCAAAAUCAGAGGUGAAUAUAUGCAAUUAAUGACAUAAGAUGCUUGUAUUUAUUUGACUAGCCUCUCAAAGUAGAACCAAAAAAUAAGUUAAAGACAUACAAAAUGCACACAUCCAUAACUUGUUCCUCAUUGGAAGUUCAUAUGUUUAGAAGAAUACUGCAAUUGGUAGCACAAUGAGAUAAACAUUCAGAAGGAAGCAAUUCUAGAAGUUGCCACACAGUUAUCUUACAGCAGUAGAAUGUGAAUGCUCCAAAUGGUGGGCUGAAUGAUAAAAUGAAGCUCAAUCCUGUUCUCUGUUGAAAGGGAUGACAGAAAAACAUGACAAUUCAGAAAUUAUUAUUGCGUUGAACAGCUUUAUGUUGUUAAUUAUUUUCUUUAUCUCAAGUCACCUAUUGGAGGACACCUCAUUCUCCUCAGUAUAACCAUCCCCAGCAUUUUACUCAUUGAUAAAUUCAUCCUUUAUCUUUUGGGGAAACAAAGAGGAAGAAAAGGAGAGAACGUUUACUCUGUGUGGCAAAACUUACUUUGGUUUAUCUGUUAACGUUACCAGAGAUCUGAGCACACCAGGACUAAUUUUGUCAGCAAGGGCACCCUUUUCUGAAAUAAAAAAAGACUUCUCCUUUACAUAGCUUUGUAGUUUGUUAGCCUCAUAGUCAAGUCGUGCUUGAUCUGCUUCCAAAAUAGUGUGAGCAGCAUGAAAUGGUAUACUAGCAAAGACAUCAGUUCCUUGGAAGAUCAUCCAUGUGCCCUCAUCUGAAUUGUGAUUGCCACAGGUUGCACAUACCUCGCUAACCAAUGGCCUUGAUGCAGAACUCCCAAUAUCCUUCAUCAUUGACUCAAAAGGAGAAGGAAUACUGGUUUUGGUUGUCCGAGCCCUCUUCCUCAGUGCAGUAAGCGCUUCCCUAUUCCCAUUUCUCAUUUUAUCAUUUUCAAUCACCUGCACUUUCAUCACUAAAAGUUACUGAAAAACUUGGUUUCUGACGAAAAAAAAUUCUCAAAGAAAGAAGAAACAUAAAUAAGAUAUCUACAGCCACAUGCAAAGUAACUUCAACAAUUAGAUUGAACAAAAACUUUUAUUUCUCAAAAUUCCUUAUAAUAAUUGACCUAAAAAGUAGAUGGCAACGUGUUCAUUUCCCAUCCUCACAAACUUUUGUACUCUUGGUUUCAAUUAUCGAACCUUAUUUUUCUUUACUUUCUCAAACAGGACAAAUGUUUUUGGGGAUGCAUCACAUAAUUCCAAUGGAGAUUUUUCUUUUCCCUCCCAGUUUCUAGGCAAACAAACAAAAUUGUUACAUGUGAGAUUAGACAAACAUACACAAGUGUUAUUUGAAGAUACAUAAGAGUUAAAAGGGGCACAAAUGACCUGAUGCCGGGCUAAAAGGAGGUGCUCAGCUUCGAUUUCAAGCUCAACCAAGUUUUCCUGAAAUUGCUUCAUCGUCUCAUCCAUCUUUUGAAUCCUUUAUCAGAAACCUCAAAUGAAUAAAUCAUUUAAACAUAUCAUAAGUGCUUAAAUAAAGCUAAGAAAACUCAUUAUUAACGUAAGCAUAGCCGACUUGGCGGCCGGAUUCUCGCCGGAAAUAGACCUUCCGCCCUUCCUUCCCUCAAAUUCUUUCUUAA